rnacentral:tmRNA from 1 species
GGGGGCGUUUAUGGAUUCGACGGGAAUAGUUCGAGCAUGGGUUGCGGGUAGUGGGGCUGCGUCCGCUUCAUCAACGCGAAAGCCAAUUAAAUGGCAAACAACAACAAACCUACGCUUUCGCAGCUUAAUAACCUGUGAGCGUGCUUCUACCCUCCAUCGCCCAUGUGGCGGGAUAGGGGCUCAACUUUAGUGGGAUACGCUGUCUAGUCUCCGCCUGGGGCUAGCUGAAGAAGACAAUCAGGCUGACCUGUGAGAUAGCCGGUUACGGGGCGCUCUUGCAGGUGACAUCAAAACCGUGACUACACCCGUAGAUGCCUGUGUGGCGUUAUUUUCGGACAGGGGUUCAAAUCCCCUCGCCUCCACCA